rnacentral:ncRNA from 1 species
CCGUGUGCCUACAAGUAGUCAAAGCCCGUUAAUGGGUAAUGGCGUGCCUUUUGUAGAAUGAACCGGCGAGUUACGAUCCCGUGCAAGGUUAAGUUGAAGAGACGGGGCCGCAGCGAAAGCGAGUCUUAAUUAGGGCGACAGAGUACGUGGUCGUAGACCCGAAACCAGGUGAUCUACCCAUGUCCAGGGUGAAGUUCAGGUAACACUGAAUGGAGGCCCGAACCCACGCACGUUGAAAAGUGCGGGGAUGAGGUGUGGGUAGCGGAGAAAUUCCAAUCGAACUUGGAGAUAGCUGGUUCUCUCCGAAAUAGCUUUAGGGCU